rfam:Trypanosoma congolense IL3000, WGS project CAEQ01000000 data, contig: 400
CAGACCUGAGUGUGGCAGGACCACCCGCUAAACUUAAGCAUAUUACUCAGCGGAGGAAAAGAAAACAACCGUGAUUCUCUCAGUCAGCGGCGAGCGAAGAGGGAACGAACUCGUUGCCGAAUCGGGUCUGAAUGGCCUCGAGUUGUGGCAUGACGUGCCGCCUUGGGGGCUGGUGCGGGCGUGGCUGAAUUCAAUCGAAAAGCAAACCCGUUGCUGAAUCUACAACCCUUCAUGUGAGUAUUGAGCCAAAGAGGGUGUCAGCCCAUUUAUUCUAUGCCACCCACCCGCGCCUCCUCGGGCGGCCCAAGAGAGUAGCACUGUUUGGGAAUGCAGUGUCAAGCCGGCAGGUAUUUGUCUGCCAAGGUUAAAUACAGAGUAGGAAGACCGAUAGCGAACAAGUAGCGUGAGCGAAAGUUUGAAAAGCACUUUGGAAAGAGAGUGACAUAGAACCUGAAAUCGUGACAACGACAAUGGAAGUACCUCCAUUUCGACGGCCAGACCCAGCCGCGCGUGUGCAUGUGUUUAUUCUUUGCCUUGGGGGUUCAAAAUCCCUUGGCUUUUUCCAUUGCGCGUCGCGGCGUGGCGUGUGUGAGUGAGCGGAUUUGCUGGGUGCGCUUUGCAUGCCUCUCUUUUUGGUGGUAUGCAUGGUGUGCUCUUUCCGUGCCUCUCGACGCUGGCGAAGGGAAUGGGGUGCCCCCACCCGUCUUGAAACACGGACCAAGGAGUCAAACAGACGCGCAAGGGAGGGGUGUUAUUCUCUUUUGUGAGAACCUCUUCUCGUACUGAAAAGGAGAUGCGAAUGCAUCCGUGGCGUGCGCUUUUUCUCUUUGUGGAUUAUAUGGGCCCAACGCCGGCCGGCCCCGUUUUGUGGGCUGCCCCUGAAUGUGCCCUGUUUUGGACCCGAAAGGGUGGUGAACUAAUGCUGAACAAGUGAAACCCGCGGGAAAACCCCCGUGG